GGCCCCUUGGUCAAGCGGUUAAGACACCACCCUUUCACGGUGGUAUCAGGAGUUCGAUUCUCCUAGGGGUCACCA
rnacentral:tRNA from 1 species